UACAGAGGUCUCAAGCGUUGUUCGGAUUCAUUGGGCGUAAAGGGUGCGUAGGCGGCGCGGUAAGUCGGGUGUGAAAUCUUGGAGCUUAACUCCGAAACUGCAUUCGAUACUGAGAGUCUUGAGUCCGGGAGAGGUGAGUGGAACUGCGAGUGUAGAGGUGAAAUUCGUAGAUAUUCGCAAGAACACCAGUGGCGAAGGCGGCUCACUGGCCCGGUACUGACGCUGAGGUGCGAAAGCGUGGGGAGCAAACAGG
rnacentral:rRNA from 1 species